rnacentral:rRNA from 1 species
UACGUAGGUGGCAAGCGUUAUCCGGAAUACUGGGCGUAAAGCGCACGCAGGCGGUCUGUUAAGUUUGACGUGAAAGCUCCCGGCUUAACUGGGAGAGGUCGUUGGAAGACUGGCAGACUUGAGGCGAUGAGAGGGGUGUAGAAUUCCCGGUGGUAGUGGUGGUAACUGCGUAGAGUAAUCGGGGGGAAUACCAGUGGCGGAAAGC